rnacentral:rRNA from 1 species
UACAGAGGUCUCAAGCGUUAUCCGGAAUCAUUGGGCGUAAAGGGUGUGUAGGUGGUUGUGUCAGUCUUUCGUUAAAGCCUGGGGCUUAACCUCAGACAAGCGAAGGAAACGGCACAACUGGAGGGUGCGAGGGGUCUGUGGAACUCAUGGAGUAGGGGUGAAAUCCGUUGAUAUCAUGGGGAACACCAAAAGCGAAGGCAGCAGACUGGCGCAUUCCUGACACUGAAACACGAAAGCGUGGGUAGCGAAUGGG